CCUACGGGUGGCAGCAGUGGGGAAUAUUGCACAAUGGGGGAAACCCUGAUGCAGCGACGCCGCGUGAGUGAAGAAGUAUUUCGGUAUGUAAAGCUCUAUCAGCAGGGAAGAAAAUGACGGUACCUGAUUAAGAAGCCCCGGCUAACUACGUGACAGCAGCCGCGGUAAUACGUAGGAUGCGAGCGUUAUCCGGAUUUAUGGGGUUUUAAGGGUGCGCAGGCGGGCUGUUAAGCCGGCGGUAAAAAUUCAGGGCUAAACCCUAUCGAGCCGUUGGAACUGGCAGCCUUGAGGGGGCGAGAAGUAUGCGGAAUGCGUGGUGUAGCGGUGAAAUGCAUAGAUAUCACGCAGAACGCCGAUUGCGAAGGCAGCAUACCGGCGCCCGACUGACGCUGAGGCACGAAAGCGUGGGGAUCGAACAGGAUUAGAUACCCGAGUAGUC
rnacentral:rRNA from 1 species